UCACACACCAUCACACUUACCUUGUGACAUAGAAUAGGUGUCAAGUUUGAAUGUUUUUCUUUUCAAAAUUCUCACUCUUUUUUGCUUGUAACUUGGCCGGCCAAAAAUACCUAUAAAUUAAGGUGCAAGACAUGGUAGAAUUCAGAUCAAAUAUCAUUAAGUUAUGCUGCCGAAUUUGCUAGACAAACUCUCAUUGUCUCCUUUCUCUAGGGUAGAUACUUUGUUUGAGAUCUCUCUCACUUUCUCCAAGUGGCAUAACUUAUCACUCUCCACACUCCUCAAGGCACUCCUUGGAUCUAAGAGCUCGUUGCAGCUUCUCUUUGUCCUCCGUUCUCCAUUGCUUUCAUCAUUCACUACUUCAAGUCAAGAACCAAGUCAAUCCAUGGAGGUUUCAAACUAUCAAUUAUCCUGCUAUUUGAUCUAUAAUAUACUUGUUUAUUCAUCUUUAAACAUUUUUUCACUAAAAAUUGAGGAUUGUUUUGAUUAAAGAUAGAAUAAAUUAAGUUUUGUAUCAAUUAAAAAAAUGGUCAUUUGAUUAGUUUUCCUUUAACAUUGAACCGUAUUAUUCCCUAAGGAAUUAAAACUAAAGAACUUCAAGUUAACUCAGGGUAUAAUGGGUACUUGCAUUAACACAAGGAUAGGAACAUAUAAAAGAGAGUAUGAAAUCAAUCCUUUAAUGCUCUUAAAAGAAUUUACUAUAAGAAAAUCAUUAAAUAUAAACUAAUUCAGAGAUAAAAAAAUAAUUAGUUGUCAUAGUGACUAAAUUGAAGAUCAUUUUAGAGACUAAAAAAAUUAUUGGUUUCUAAAUUAGUUUAUAUUAUUUAUAAAUAGUUUUUAAAUUGGUGUCUAAUAAGUUACCAAAGUUUUUGCUACCAAAUUUAGAAUUUAAAUAAAUGAUAGUAAUUAGACACCAAUUUAGAAACUGUUUAUCAAUAAUAAAAACUAAUUUAUAAACCAAUAAUUUUUUUGUCUCUAAAAUGGUCUCUAAUUUAGUCAUUAUACCACCUAAUUAUUUUUUGUCUCUAAAAUUAAUUUUUAUUUAAUGAUUUUCUUGUAGUGAUUGAAUUUAUUCUUUCUUCUUUAUAAUUGUUGUUAUUUUUUAAUUUUGUUGAAUUUAUAAUUAAUCGAUAUUAUUAUGGUUUUUAUCAGGAGGAUGGUAUUUAACACUGUAUUACUUCAAGUGACGAUUGGUAAUGCAACACCAAACAUGCAACGCACUAAACAUGACUUCUAACUUAGCUCUCAUGUUUUUUUUUUCAAAUUCUUAUUGCAUAACCUUCCUCCAAACUUCUACUUUAAUUUCCUCCUUAAAGUUUCUUGGUUCUACAACAUAAUAAUUAUACAUUGUAUAAAUAUUACUCAAACUCCUUUUUUUUUCUUCAGGAAUUGAGCUUGGAACAUGAAGGAUUUGAUGAUGGUGAGUAACUUGGUGUAUUUGGGGUUAGUCAAUUCCAAGAACCUUCUCAUAAAACAUAACAUCUCCACUAAUUGCCAUUUUUAUUGUCUUAAAGUUGUAAAAUUUAUAAUGCUUAAACCCUAAACUAUAACGGACAAAUAUGCAUAUCUCACUUCAUUCUUGAAGCUUUAUUCUCCUCGGUUUUCAAAUUUCUAAUAUCAUAUUAGGUGAUAAAUAUAAUCUCAUAUAAAUAUUUUAAUUUUUCAAUUAUAAUUAUUCUAUUG
rnacentral:lncRNA from 1 species